rnacentral:lncRNA from 1 species
CCCACCCCCAGCUAAAAGCUUCCCAGCAGGAGGACUCGGGGAAGGAUGCCACCAAAAUAAGUGUGGUCAAGGUGGUGGGCAGCAACAUCUCCCACAAGCUUCGGCUGUCGCGGGUGAAGCCCACGGACGAAGGCACCUACGAGUGCCGCGUGAUCGACUUCAGCGACGGCAAGGCCCGGCACCACAAGGUCAAAGCCUACCUGCGAGUGCAGCCCGGGGAGAACUCGGUGCUGCAGCUGCCUGAUGCGCCCCCAGCCGCGCCCGCGCCGCCGCCCAAGCCCGGCCGGGAGCUGCGCAAGCGCUCUCUGCCCGAGGCCUGCAGCCUGUAGCCCACCCGUCCCGCAUGCAGUCCUCCUGGCCCUGUGGCGACGGCGGCAGAGGAGUCCCGCGUGUGCUUUGCUUGCUUAUCCCCCUCCCGGCUCCGCCUCUUGCACCCCGUCCUCGCGGCCAGCCCCCUGGUGAGGAGCCGGGCCG